CUGCCAGUGGCACCCCAAGGCACUCUGGGCAGAGGUUCCACUGCUCGCAGCCCAGCAGGCAAACGCUAGAACUCGCUAGCUCCUUUAUCGUUUCAAGAUGCGAAUGAAGCGUCCUCCUGUGGGGCUUGGGAGAUGGCUUCCAUGGCAACUGCCACAGAGGUGACAGGUCCGAGAAGCGUGGGAGAAUUCGCUUCCUGAGGUUAAACCAAGGACAGCUAGAAGACCGGAGGAAGUGAAAGAUCCAUCUCCCCUCCCCCGCCCUCGGAGCGCUUGUUCCGAGGAUGGUUCUUUGUACUGCCUGUGCUGUUAACAUGCUGACUUGUUUUUCUAUCCCAUCCUUUCCUGUCUUCAGUUUGUCUUUCUUCCCCUUUGGCACCUUGAAUUUGCGUAUCACCAAAAUUGUUAGCAUGCAAUCUCUGUAUGGGGUUCUCUUUUCUAGGAGACAUGACUGACUUACGAUGUUCAUCAUUCAGAGGUAACUGAUGGAUUUGAGGUACAGUAUUUCCAUUUGAUUUUUCAGACUUUCAAUACAUACGCACAGAUUCAUAACAUAUAAUACUGUUUUUGCAUGCCCUCGAUCUUCAUGAACAUUUAGAACAUAAGGCUACUUUUCUGUCGCCUUACUAGAGUUGCUUUUUUCAUCUAAUGUCAUGUUUGUGAUCAUUGCCCAAAUUGAAAGACAUCCCUCCUGUCCUUUCAUUUCACUGCUCUAGUGUAUUCACAAAUUAUUCUACAUCAGGGAUAAAUGUAUUACUUGUUACUUUUUCAGUCAAUUGGCUUAAUCAUCAGGUUGUUGAUGUACAUUUGUUUUCUAUUUUUGGCUUUAAUAAAUAACUGUAAAGAAUAAUCUUACACUAAUGGGGCAGAAUUUUGCUAGGUUUACACUUAGUAGAGGAAUUGUAGAUCACUGGUUUUACUAGAUAUUGGAAAAAUGCUCUCCAAAAUCCUUGUACAAUUAUUACAUGCAAUAUAUGAAGAUCUCAUUGCUCUGCAUUAUUACCAAUAUUUUGUAUUGUCAGAUUUAUAAAUUCAUCCAUUCCUAUAGCUGUGAAAUAGUGUGUGGCUGUUUAAUAUUCUGUGUUGGAAGUUCAGUAUCUUUUCAUAAAUUUCUUGCUGAUAUAGAUUUUCUCCUUCCUUUGUUGAUUUUGAAUUGUUUUCUUAUUGCCUUGCAGUUUUUAUUAAUGCCUUAGAUACCUGUCUGAUCCCAAACCAUGGUUUGUUUUGUUCUGUUUGUAGUCUUUUUUUAUUCAGAAAUGUUUAAUUUCAGCCCAAUUUUAGUGUAACCAAUUGAUGAUUUUUAAAUGAAUUUUACUAUUGUGUUAUUUAAGAAGUUCUGAAACACAGAUAUUCUCAUAUUUUUACAUGUCUUAUAGAUUUUCUUUUCCUAUUUGAUUCAUCUUAAAUUGGCUUCUGCAGAGGAUGUGAGGAUUUGGAUUUUCUAAUGCAGGGAGACCAGUAUUGAGUAAGAUCUGUGCCUAUGGAAGUAUAUGCUAGUGGAAUCACAUGAUCCUAGGGUUGGAAGUUGCCUUGCUGGUGCAUGAUCAUCUACCUCAAUCCAAAGGAUUUGAGCAUUACUCUCCAACUACAAAAGACCUCCGAACUGAGAAGGAAUGAAUCUCUGACCCAUUUGUGAAUAAGCCAGGUGAACUGACUUUGUGCUAGAGAGGAUCAACUGGUUGAGAGUGCAAAUGAUGAUGGCCUUAAAAGUGUGAGACCGAGGGCCUUAUCAAACGCUCCGAGGAGCUGACUGCAGCGACGAUCACCCGGGAAGGAACACACCGGACAAGUUGGAAAGGUUUUCCACAGUGACGGCAGCCAAAACGAGAUUAUGGAUCAGUCUAAACAUAAGCAGCACACUUCGGGUGUCACUGUCCUUCAUCACCCUCAGAUGGGAUCAUUGAGUAGCAGGAAAUCAAGCUCGAGACUCCCACUGAUUCUGCAUUGUGUGAGGUGUGCAGUUAUUUCAUAAUCUAUUACAACAUAAUAAAAAUACAAAUAAAGCCUACAAUAAAUAUAAUGUACUUGAAUCAUUCUCCAUUAAUGGAAAAGUUGUCUUCCAUGAAACCAGUCCCUGGUGCCAAAAAAUUUGAAGAUUUCUGGCCUAAAAUAUAAUCUACCCUGGAGAAUGUUCCAUGUGCACUUGAGAAAAAUGCUGGGGAGAAUGUUGCAUGUGUGUAUGUCUGACUAUUAUGUCCAUUUAAUCUAUAGCAUUCACGUCUACUGUCUGUUGAUUUUCUGUCUGGAUAGUCUAUCCAUUGUUGAAAGUGGUUAUAAUGAAGGUUACUAUUACUGUAUUCCUAUUUCUCAUUCAGUUCUGCUCCUAUUUGCAGUAUAUAUUCAGCAGUUCUGAUGUUAGAUGCAUAGAUAUUUACAGCUGCUAUAUCCUGUCAAGGAACUGAUCCCUGUGUCAGUACCUAAGAACUUUCUUUUCCUCUUGCGACAGUGUUUGGCAAAAGGCUAUUUAAUCUGACAUAAGUAUAGCCACCUCUGCUUUCUUCAGGUUACAUUUGCAUGAAAUAUCUUUUUCAUCUCUUCACUUUAUACUACUUGUGUCUUUAAUGCUAAAGUGAGUCCCUUUGGGGCAGAGUAUAGUUGAGUGUUUUUAAAAAAUAUAUUGUACGUUGUAUUUUAAAAUGCACUUAAAAUACAUUAUAAAAUACCAGAAUUCAUUCUGUUUCUUUUGAUCAAAGGUUUUAAUAAAGUUAUAUUUAAAAUAAUUAUUGACAUGUAAGAAUUUACUACUGUAAUUUUGUUAACUAUGUUUUUACUAUUUUGUAGUGUCUUUGUUCCCCA
rnacentral:lncRNA from 1 species